CUACGGGGGGCUCCAGUGAGGAAUAUUGCACAAUGGGGGGAACCCUGAUGCAGCAACGCCGCGUGGAGGAUGACGCAUUUCGGUGUGUAAACUCCUUUUAUAUGUCAAGAAAAUGACGGUAGCAUAUGAAUAAGCACCGGCUAACUCCGUGCCAGCAGCCGCGGUAAUACGGAGGGUGCGAGCGUUACUCGGAAUCACUGGGCGUAAAGGACGCGUAGGCGGGUUGGAAAGUCAGGUGUGAAAUCCUACAGCUUAACUGUAGAACUGCACGUGAAACUUCUAAUCUAGAGUAUGGGAGGGGGAGAUGGAAUUAGUGGUGUAGGGGUAAAAUCCGUAGAUAUCACUAGGAAUACCUAAAGCGAAGGCGAUCUCCUGGAACAUUACUGACGCUAAGGCGUGAAAGCGUGGGGAGCAAACAGGAUUAGAUACCCUCGUUAGUC
rnacentral:rRNA from 1 species